rnacentral:rRNA from 1 species
UACGGGGGGGGCAAGCGUUGUUCGGAAUUACUGGGCGUAAAGGGCUCGUAGGCGGCCAACUAAGUCAGACGUGAAAUCCCUCGGCUUAACCGGGGAACUGCGUCUGAUACUGGAUGGCUUGAGAUUGGGAGAGGGAUGCGGAAUUCCAGGUGUAGCGGUGAAAUGCGUAGAUAUCUGGAGGAACACCAGAGGCGAAGGCGACGCACUGGACAGCAACUGACACUCAACUGCGAAAGCGUGGGGAGCAAACAGG